GAGGGUGCAAGCGUUACUNGGAAUCACUGGGCGUAANGGAUGCGUAGGCUGGAAAUCAAGUCGAGAGUGAAAUNCNACGGCUUAACCGUUGAACUGCUCUCGAAACUGGUUACCUAGAAUAUGGGAGAGGUAGAUGGAAUUGGUGGUGUAGGGGUAAAAUNCNUAGAUAUCACCAGGAAUACCGAUUGCGAAGGCGAUCUACUGGAACAUUAUUGACGCUGAGGCAUGAAAGCGUGGGGAGCAAACAGGAUUAGAUACCCUGGUAGUCCACGCCCUAAACGAUGCACACUAGUUGUUGCGAUGCUAGUCAUUGCAGUAAUGCACUUAACAGAUUAAGUGUGCCGCCUGGGGAGUACGGUCGCAAGAUUAAAACUCAAAGGAAUAGACGGGGACCCGCACAAGCGGUGGAGCAUGUGGUUUAAUUCGAAGAUACACGAAGAACCUUACCUGGCCUUGAUAUCCUAAGAAUCCUGUAGAGAUACGGGAGUGCUAGUUUACUAGAACUUAGAGACAGGUGCUGCACGGCUGUCGUCAGCUCGUGUCGUGAGAUGUUGGGUUAAGUCCCGCAACGAGCGCAACCCUCGUGAUUAGUUGCUAACAGUUCGGCUGAGCACUCUAAUCAGACUGCCUUCGUAAGGAGGAGGAAGGUGAGGACGACGUCAAGUCAUCAUGGCCCUUAUGGCCAGGGCUACACACGUGCUACAAUGGCUAGGACAAAGAGACGCGAUACUGCGAAGUGGAGCAAAUCUUAAAACCUAGUCUCAGUUCGGAUUGGAGUCUGCAACUCGACUCCAUGAAGCUGGAAUCGCUAGUAAUCGUAGAUCAGAUAUGCUACGGUGAAUACGUUCCCGGGUCUUGUACUCACCGCCCGUCACACCAUGGGAGUUGAAUUCACCCGAAGCCGGAAUACUAAACUAGUUACCGACCACGGUGGGUUCAGCGACUGGGGUG
rnacentral:rRNA from 1 species